UGGGGAAUCUUGCACAAUGGGGGCAACCCUGAUGCAGCGACGCCGCGUGAGCGAUGAAGGUUUUCGAAUCGUAAAGCUCUGUCCUAUGGGAAGAUAAUGACGGUACCAUAGGAGGAAGCCCCGGCUAACUACGUGCCAGCAGCCGCGGUAAUACGUAGGGGGCGAGCGUUGUCCGGAAUUACUGGGCGUAAAGGGUUCGCAGGCGGCAUGGCAAGUCCGAUGUAAAAGGCGAAGGCUCAACCUUCGUAAGCAUCGGAAACUGUCAAGCUUGAGUGAAGGAGAGGCAAGUGGAAUUCCUAGUGUAGCGGUGGAAUGCGUAGAUAUUAGGAGGAAUACCGGUGGCGAAGGCGACUUGCUGGACUUCGACUGACGCUGAGGAACGAAAGCGUGGGUAGCAAACAGG
rnacentral:rRNA from 1 species